GAUGAACGCUGGCGGCGUGCCUAACACAUGCAAGUCGAACGAAGCGCCUUUUGAGAUUCUUCGGAUGAUUGAUUGGUGACUGAGUGGCGGACGGGUGAGUAACGCGUGGGUAACCUGCCCUGUACAGGGGGAUAACAGCUGGAAACGGCUGCUAAUACCGCAUAAGCGCACGAGGAGACAUCUCCUAGUGUGAAAAACUCCGGUGGUACAGGAUGGGCCCGCGUCUGAUUAGCUGGUUGGCAGGGUAACGGCCUACCAAGGCAACGAUCAGUAGCCGGUCUGAGAGGAUGAACGGCCACAUUGGAACUGAGACACGGUCCAAACUCCUACGGGAGGCAGCAGUGGGGAAUAUUGCACAAUGGGGGAAACCCUGAUGCAGCAACGCCGCGUGAGUGAAGAAGUAUUUCGGUAUGUAAAGCUCUAUCAGCAGGGAAGAUAA
rnacentral:rRNA from 1 species